rnacentral:snRNA from 1 species
CUCAACAAGUUAUCCAGGUCCAC